GUAAUGACUGAAUUUAAAUUGGGGAUUUAAACAAAUAUCCCUUUAUUAAACCGACUUUAACCAAAGAAAUUAAAAAUAAUAAGUGCGUACAAUCUGUUUAAACAAGCGGACCAAUGUGAUUAAAUGGACCAGUUUGAUUAAAGUACCACCUUGAUAAUAAGGACCAUAUAACGAGCUCACUCAAUCCAAGUCACCAUGCACACAAAAUGAGCCAUUGAACCCAAAUCAGUUUUGGUUCCAAUUGCUAGCAUAAGACUAUCACUUUCAUCCAUAACCGUAUCAGUUUGAAUUUUCCUUUUCAACAACCAACCCCAUUUCGAACUAGCUUAUAUUUGCAUUUCUAGCUACGAAACUCGCAAUUCCCUGUGGAUAUUGUCCCUUUGCUUGCCACUCUACUUGGUUCUAGUGGUUAGCUUAGGUAUUUGGAUUGAUUUAGGUGUAAGAUUAGCAACGACCUAGUUUUUCCCUGUAUCAAUAUGAGUAAAAUGAUUAAACAAUAAACCGAUCAAUCAAGAAACUGAUCAAACAGAAAACUAUUGUAAAUGAGUUUUUGUGCGGAAUUUUCAGCAGAAAUGUAGCUGCUUUGGUACCAUGCUCAAAGUCAUACUAUUGAAUUCAUAUUCAGAGAGAAUAUAGUGGAAGAGAGGAAAAGAUGAUGAUUAUUAUUAUUAUUAUUUAAUUAGCUUAUAUGAACUCUGGGAUAAUUUAUAUACGGUCAUUACAAGGCUAAAGGCUGGAACUAACUUUUCUUAAUACAAGGAAGUUUGUUAUUAUUGCUACAAACUAAAACACAACAUCAUCAUCAUCUAACUGUUAUUAUGAUCAGCAUGAAUGCAUGAUCAUAUAUAUCAACAAGUUCAAUGGUCACGAAUGCUUUGUCAGUGAAGGGGAAGGUGUAGUGUUCAAGUCCCGCCAUCAGCAAAUAGAGCUUCUUUUUUAGUUUUAGCGGUGUUUUAAAUCUUUCAAAACACAACCUCUAUAUUACAUGCAAGAAGAUCAACAAGGAAGCGUUCAAAUAGUCAACGAACAGAAGGUUGAGAUAUACCGUUCAAAUAGUUCAUUAAGAACCUGCUUGGUGGACAUGGGAAUUUAAUUAUCAUAGACACUUGUAAUUUAAGGGAAAUUACUUCGUAAUAAACUUGUGUCAAUAUAUGUAGAAUUUAGUUGAAAGAAAAUUUGGAUUAUUUAUCCAAUAUAUGGAUGUUA